UUCACAGGUACUGGCUGUCCAGGCUC
rnacentral:misc_RNA from 1 species